rnacentral:rRNA from 1 species
GACGAACGCUGGCGGCGUGCUUAACACAUGCAAGUCGAACGGUAAGGCCCUUCGGGGUACACGAGUGGCGAACGGGUGAGUAACACGUGGGUGAUCUGCCCUGCACUUCGGGAUAAGCCUGGGAAACUGGGUCUAAUACCGGAUAGGACUCCUGCCUGCAUGGGUGGGGGUGGAAAGCUUUUGUGGUGUGGGAUGGGCCCGCGGCCUAUCAGCUUGUUGGUGGGGUGAUGGCCUACCAAGGCGACGACGGGUAGCCGGCCUGAGAGGGUGACCGGCCACACUGGGACGGAGACACGGCCCAGACUCCUACGGGAGGCAGCAGUGGGGAAUAUUGCACAAUGGGCGCAAGCCUGAUUCAGCAACGCCGCGUGAGGGACGACGGCCUUCGGGUUGUAAACCUCUUUUAGCAGGGAAGAAGCGAAAGUGACGGUACCUGCAGAAAAAGCACCGGCUAACUACGUGCCAGCCGCCGCGGUAA